rnacentral:rRNA from 1 species
UGCAAGUCGAGCGAUGAAGCACCUUCGGGUGUGAAUUAGCGGCGAACGGGUGAGGAACACGUGAAGAAUCUGCCUUCAACUCUGGGAUAACUCCGGGAAACCGGGGCUAAUACCGGAUAUGAGCCUUGAUCGCAUGAUCGGGGCUGGAAAGUUUUUCGGUUGAAGAUGACUUCGCGGCCUAUCAGCUUGUUGGUGAGGUAAUGGCUCACCAAGGCGACGACGGGUAGCCGGCCUGAGAGGGCGACCGGCCACACUGGGACUGAGACACGGCCCAGACUCCUACGGGAGGCAGCAGUGGGGAAUAUUGGGCAAUGGAGGAAACUCUGACCCAGCGACGCCGCGUGAGGGAUGAAGGCCUUCGGGUUGUAAACCUCUUUCAGUAGGGAAGAAGCGAAAGUGACGGUACCUACAGAAGAAGCACCGGCUAACUAUGUGCCAGCAGCCGCGGUAAUACAUAGGGUGCAAGCGUUGUCCGGAAUUAUUGGGCGUAAGGAGCUCGUAGGUGGUUCGAUACGUCGGAUGUGAAAAUCAGGGGCUCAACCCCUGACCUGCAUCCGAUACGGUCGAGCUAGAGUUUGGUAGGGGAGACUGGAAUUCCUGGUGUAGCGGUGGAAUGCGCAGAUAUCAGGAGGAACACCGAUGGCGAAGGCAGGUCUCUGGGCCAAUACUGACACUGAGGAGCGAAAGCGUGGGGAGCGAACAGGAUUAGAUACCCUGGUAGUCCACGCCGUAAACGGUGGGCGCUAGUUGUGCGAACCUUCCACGGUUUGUGCGACGCAGCUAACGCAUUAAGCGCCCCGCCUGGGGAGUACGAUCGCAAGAUUAAAACUCAAAGGAAAUUGACGGGGCCCCGCACAAGCAGCGGAGCAUGCGGCUUAAUUCGACGCAACGCGAAGAACCUUACCAAGGCUUGACAUAUACAGGAAUACGGCAGAGAUGUCGUAGCCGCAAGGUCUGUAUACAGGUGGUGCAUGGUUUGUCGUCAGCUCGUGUCGUGAGAAUGG